GAUGAACGCUGGCGGCGUGCCUAAUACAUGCAAGUCGAGCGAACGGACGAGAAGCUUGCUUCUCUGAUGUUGGCGGCGGACGGGUGAGUAACACGUGGAUAACCUACCUAUAAGACUGGGAUAACUUCGGGAAACCGGAGCUAAUACCGGAUAAUAUUUUGAACCGCAUGGUUCAAAAGUGAAAGACGGUCUUGCUGUCACUUAUAGAUGGAUCCGCGCUGCAUUAGCUAGUUGGUAAGGUAACGGCUUACCAAGGCAACGAUGCAUAGCCGACCUGAGAGGGUGAUCGGCCACACUGGAACUGAGACACGGUCCAGACUCCUACGGGAGGCAGCAGUAGGGAAUCUUCCGCAAUGGGCGAAAGCCUGACGGAGCAGCGCCGCGUGAGUGAUGAAGGUCUUCGGAUCGUAAAACUCUGUUAUUAGGGAAGAACAUAUGUGUAAGUAACUGUGCACAUCUUGACGGUACCUAAUCAGAAAGCCACGGCUAACUACGUG
rnacentral:rRNA from 1 species